UACGUAGGUGGCAAGCGUUAUCCGGAAUUAUUGGGCGUAAAGCGCGCGCAGUCGGUUUCUUAAGUCUGAUGUGAAAGCCCACGGCUCAACCGUGGAGGGUCAUUGGAAACUGGGGAACUUGAGUGCAGAAGAGAAAAGCGGAAUUCCACGUGUAGCGGUGAAAUGCGUAGAUAUCGGGAGGAACACCUGUGGCGAAAGCGGCGCACUGGACCAUAACUGACGCUGAGGCGCGAAAGCUAGGGGAGCAAACAGG
rnacentral:rRNA from 1 species